UGUGAUUUCACAAAUUUCAUUAAAACACAUUAGGGGACAUUUAGUUAUUAUCGUGGAGUAAAGAGAUACUAUAAGAUAAGUGAUGUUUGAACGCUUUAAACAAAUAAUAUUUUAGAAAUAAAUAAAAAAUUUGAACAUUCUGGAAGAAAUCCCCAAGAAUUUCCCAUGAUUCAAAGGACCUUUACAGCAGCCAGGAAGUGGCUCCGCUAGUUUAGACAAUCACAGGGGUAUUCAAUAAUUUGACAAUUGUUAGGAAUUCAAAGGGAAUUGAAAGUGCAUUUCAAAUGAAAGACCAAAGGGAUCUGAACUGGUAGGAAAGUUGACUCAAAUAAUUUUCCAAUAAAGUUGGUAAUUCACUUUAGUAAAUAGUCCUUCUGCAAUUUCUUCAGUUCAAAACAUAUUUAAAACGUGUUGAGCACACCAGACACACAUUUGUGCUAGUUUAUGAUGCUUUUAAGCCGUGCUUCCAAAUAGUUAAAGGAAACCACUCGUACUGUGCAUGCAAACAUUCUAAGGUUUAUUCAUUAAAUACCGAUACAUAUUGAAUUCAAAACAGAAUUGCAAAAUGUUGGCAAAAUAGUUUAUUCAGAAAAACAUCUUAACGCAAGCAUAGUCACAACGUGGCUAUUUUAGUUUAAAGGGACACUAUAGACACCCAGACCACUUCAACUGAUUGAAGUAGUCCGGGUACAUAUUCCCAGGUCCUUUAACCCUG